ensembl:snRNA U1 U1 spliceosomal RNA
GUACUUACCUGGCAGGGGAGAUACCAUGAUCAAGAAGGUGUUUCAAGCAAGGUGAGGCUCAGCCAUUGCACUCCAGUUGUGUGGACACCUGUUAAUUCCUCAAAUGUGGGAAUCUUGACUGCAUAAUUUCUGGUAGUGGGGGACUGCAUUCGUGCUCUCCCCUG